CACGUGGCUCAGACAAGCUGCAGAAAUAGACUGGGCGCUGGGAUACCUCCCAGCGGCCCCGCAGCCCUCACCAACACCCCAGGCAGGGAGUGUGUCUAGCACAAUUGUCACACACUUACCGUUGCAAGUGACUUCAGACUAAGGACCUGUCAGCACCCUGAACUGAGAAAUUUAUGCUGAUAAAACACCCCUUUAUCAGUUUCACAUGUUGGCCUUUUGGAUAUGAUUGUGGCUGAAAAAGAGGUUUUACUGGAAAAGUCCAUUUGAAAAUGGCAGCCUUGACUCCCUCCUCACAGGUGCCCUGGGAGGCUGGGGAAGGGCAAGAAUCCUCUUCUAGAAAAUGGGAACACUAAGGUCAGAGGGUAGGGUGACGUGCGUAGUGGCUGGAAUCUAGGGUGCUUCCGUCUUCUGGCGCCAUGAGAAGGGAGACAGACUAUUUUGCCCAGCCCAGCCCCACCUAGAGUGGGUGGUCUAAGAUACCCCCAUGGGCUGCAGUGCCCGCUGAGGAUAAAUCCUUAGAAUCUCCAUUUCUUGACAGUUCACCUCAGUGUAACACACACUCUGGACCCAGAUAGUUUGAAACCUUCCUGUGCCAUUUCUUAGCUGUGUGACCUUGGAUAAGUCACUUCACCUCUCUGCGCCUCAGUUUGCUCACCUGUAAAAUGGGGAUAAUAAUAGGAUGCACUUCACAGGGAGGGUUGUGGGAAAGACUGCUUGAGAAACUGCCUGAAAAGCACUUAGCACAAGGCUGGACACUUUGUGAGCACCCAACCAACGGUAGAGUUUAUUAUCAUUAUUAUUCUCCCUGAGGAAGCACUCACUGAAUCUUUACCCUGACAGCCCUGCUUGGGUCCUGGGGAUUGGACAUGGGGCUUCUGCCCCCAAGUGGCUCAGAAGUCCAGAGAGACAAGAGGCAGCGCUGAGGGAAAGGCCACUUCUGAUGGGGCAUCCAUCCGGGAAGGCCUCCAGGAAGAAGUGGCCUUGAAGCUGGGCCUAGAAGGAUGGCCUCUUCAGACUGUCUGGGCAGGGCCGUCAGGAGUUGGGAGAUGGCUGACUUAGCUUGCUUGUCUGGGAGAAAGAACUGCGGAGAAACCUCCUGGCCAGCCUGGGGUGGUUGUGUGGAGAGAAGCCAGAAUCAGCUCAGGAACUCCAAAAACCUCAGCAGCUCCUUUGCCUUCUGCCCCUAUCCACCCACCGCCGUUUCCCCUGGAGGUCACUCGAGCCAAAAUACCAAGAGCCAGGCGGCCGGGCAGAUGGCCAUUCCCAGGAAAGCAGGAGCCGAGAAGAGGGAACCUGUGCCCCCUUCCCACUCCCACAACCCAGCUGUGUCAGCAGAAAGUCCACCCAGGCUGGGUUCGAAUCCCACUUACUGUGUGAUCUCAGCCAAGUCACUUCAUUUCUUUGAACCUCAGUUUUCUCUUCUGUAAAAUGGGCAUAAAGCUACCUUAAAGGGCUGUUGUGAGGAUGUACUGACCAGAUGUAUAAAGCAUCCGGCACACAUUAAGUGCUUAAUAAUUGUCUCUUUGGAGACGGGAAAAGAGCCAGGCUGACUUUCCACAUGAGGAAGUGAGGAUGCUGGAGACUGGCCCCUCCAACUUAAUCCCUGGCCCAUCACCCUCAGGAAGUCCACAGCCUCCUCAACCGGCAGGGCUGGCAGAUGAGGAAACCGAGGUGCAGAGUCAAGCCAGGCUUGUGAAAAGCAUGCAGAGGACCAGAGGAGGUGGGAUGCAAACCCAGGCUCAAUGGAUGGACUCGACGUCGAGGCCUCUCCAGAACUCUUCAUCGCAGACACCUUGCUCUGGCUGAACCCCAGUUCUCCCCACUCCCACCCCCUCACGCCUACACAUCUGCUCCCUCCCCAGAGAAGUUCAGGCCGUGGGAGCCAGCCCUCCCUUCCUUCCAGGCUUCUGUGGAUGCCCUGGACCACGUCCACCAAUAGCCACCGGAGGACAGGCAGAGCCGGGGCUGAGUCAGCUGGUGCCCCAUGGCACCGCCUGGCACAAGAGCUCCUAGGAGGCUUUGCUGAGAGGACGAAUCAGGAGGCUGGACACGAAGUCACCACCCAGGGACGUGCCUGCAGCGCCACCUGGUGGUGACGUGGCACUCCUGCUACUCUCGGCCCUUGUCCUGCCAUCCCAUCCCUGUGGGUUCGGUAGAUGGUUUAGUGAGCAGCUACUACGUGCCAAGCAAUGGGUGGCCAGGCACUGAGAAUGGGACCAGUCCGGGAAGAUCUGGGGGACAGCACUCCAGGCAGACAAGUGUUCUGAGACCGGAAGGAGUUGGUCGUGACCCAGAAGGAGCAAAAUGGUCAAAGUGGCUAGACCCGGGUGCCAGGGGUGGAGACGGAGGGGGAAGUGGGCCAGGUUGGUGGCCAGAUCUCAUGGGGCUUUUUAGGCUGUGGUGAGGAUAUGGUCGAUGGUUUAAAGGCUGCUGUGGGGAGGACAGACUGCAGGGUGAAAACAGGAAAUCAGGCAGAAUAUGAUGGUGGCUCAGACACCAGGGGGUGGCGGGGAGGGUGGGAAGAAGUGCCUGGAUUCUAGAACUGAUAGGAUUUGCAGACGGAUUGGAUGGGGCUGUGAGAUAAAGUGGGGAAUGAAGGACAACCCCAAGGCUUUUGUCUGAGCACCUGAGGAAAGGUGAGGUCCUUUACUUUGAAAAGAAGAAGGAGGAGAAGCAGGUUUGUGGGGGGGACCAGGUGCCUUCGGGCAGUUUAAGGUGGAGACGCCUGUAAUAUGUCCAAGGGGAGGAGCCGGGGAAGUGGGUGGGUCUGUGCCUCUGGAGCUCAGGGGGAGGAUGGGGCUGGAGGUCCACAUGUGAAGUUGCCAGGGUACAGAUGGCAGCCCACACCGUGAGGAUGGGUGAAUCACCUAGGAGCAGGCACAGGACAGAGCAGGGGGCCUCUGACCUUUAGAGUUUGAGGAGACGAGGAGGAGCAGCCAGGAGCCCACAUGGGACCAGCACAGGCCUGGAGGCAGCACCAAGGCCCCGGUAGCCCUUCUGUCCCCCAGUGCACCCCCGUCUGGACUUGGAGUCGGCCUGGAAUCCAGGGCAGAGUGGAUGUCCCCUACCAGAAUCGGAGACACCUGCAGCCUCGGAGCUGGGGGAUACUGAACAUUCCCAGCUCCUGCUGACAGACAAGCAGCUUAGGAUAAAAGGCUCCUGCUGCACUGGGUCCAGGCGUCAGCCUCCGUGGGUGGGAGGGUUUGCUGAAGUGAGAGGCUGAUGAGAGCGCAAGGGAGGGCUGGCUGGAGGCAAGCACCUUCCAACCGGUUUCGGAUUUCCUUUGCUGUCCUCCCCUAUCUCUGGCUGGCAGCUUUUUGGGAUUAGCUGCUGUGGUCAGGAGCUGCCAGCUGGGCCGGCCUGGCACAGCCUCAGGGAGGUGUAUGAGGGCUGUCUGGUAGCUGGGCACAGUCAAGGAAGGGGGCAUGAGUCCAGUUUUCGAAAUUUGUCCCUCAGGAAAUUUGUCCUUUGGAAAUUUGGGAAGUGGUGGGGAGAGGUGCGUGUCUGCCACUCACACAUGAUCCGUGUAGCACAUCCACAUUGUACAGGGAGAGAAAUAGCUCAGGGAGGUGGAGUGAUCACGCAAGGCCACGCAGCUGGUCUGACCCUGGCUGCAUCCCACGCCAUCCAGUGGACACGCCUCCCUGACGGCUGACAGAUGAGCUAGGAGGGGCUCAUGUCCGUGCGGGUCAGUACCUUCUACACCAUCGCCCCAAUGGCAGCUACCACGUACUGAGCACCUACCCUGUGCCAGGUGCCUGUGAGGCUGGUGUCCCGUUCUACAGACAAGAAAACAGAAGCCCAGACAGGGGAAGCGACUUGCUCUAGAUCACACCCCAAACCGGCGAUGGAGGCAGGGUUUGAACCCAGGACUAACUCCAGAGGCUGUGUUCUCACCUGCCCCAUGCUCAGCAGAGACCUCCCCGCUUUGACACACGUCAAGCCCACGGCAGCUGUGCUGCCCACGGCUGCACCAGGCCCUGCUCUGGCCGAGAGCAUUUGUACACAGAGCGGAAAACACAGUGGGGUGCAGCAGGCCUCUCCCGAGAGAAACCGACCUCACCUUGGCAAAUCUCAGGGAAGGGACUUGGAGGCUCAGUUGGGUCACAGGUUCACUCCUUGACCAAUCAACUGUGCCCAGGGCUGGGGUCAGAUAACCAUGUAGCAGCCCCCUACAGACCAUGGUGGCCAAGGCGGUGGGGCAUGGCCUUUGCCUAGAGAUUUGACCCCUGGGCCAAAGGUUCUGUUUAAGUUACAUCUGCCUCCCCCGGCUUCUGAGCUUCCUGUUCCCAACUUCCAUGACAAGAGGCUGGGGGGGUCAGGGUGGGUCCUCUCGAAACUGCUUUCCUUGGGCCGGGCCCCUUCGUCCAGCCGACAGGCCAUGUCUGCCCAGGGAACUGAAGUGUAUGGACAGGGGUCAGAAGCUACUCGAAGGACUUGUCUCUGUGCCCAACUCAUGUGUGAGCCUUGGGGUUAAGUCACAUGGUUCACCCUCUGGUCUCAGUUCACACAUCACCCACAGAGAGGUCUCCGCCCAGCUCCCCAGCCUUCCCAGCCGCAGUCUGUCCUUCUCUAUUGUGUCUCUGUGAGGUCUGUCUUUCCUGGCAGAUUGUGAGGGCAGGAGGCAGGGCUGACACAAAAUAGACAUUUAAUAAAUAUUUGCUGAAUGAA
rnacentral:lncRNA from 1 species